rnacentral:rRNA from 1 species
CCUACGGUGGGCUGCAGUGGGGGAUAUUGCACAAUGGGGGGAACCCUGAUGCAGCGACGCCGCGUGGGUGAAGGAGUGCUUCGGCAUGUAAAGCCCUAUCGGCAGGGAAGAAGCAAGACGGUACCUGACUAAGAAGCCCCGGCUAACUACGUGCCAGCAGCCGCGGUAAUACGUAGGGGGCAAGCGUUAUCCGGAUUUACUGGGUGGAAAGGGAGCGUAGACGGCUGUGCAAGUCUGAAGUGAAAGCCCGUGGCUCAACCGCGGAACUGCUUUGGAAACUGUAUAGCUUGAGUACUGGAGAGGCAGGCGGAAUUCCUAGUGUAGCGGUGAAAUGCGUAGAUAUUAGGAGGAACACCAGUGGCGAAGGCGGCCUGCUGGACAGAAACUGACGUUGAGGCUCGAAAGCGUGGGGAGCAAACAGGAUUAGAUACCCGUGUAGUC